UGUUAGUGAAGUCAAGAAAUGUGCAUGGGAAUCAACGUUUUAUUUAUAUUGAACCAGAACUCUUUAUUUCUUUAAGUAGUUCAUUCAGUAAUUAAUAUCAGAAAAGUUCGCUGAAAUUUAUGAUUGCUGCAGUUGGUCCAUUCCAUAGCACAAUUGGACGCUGCAAUUCAUUACGUUUCUUUUUUGCUCAAGCCAUGUUGUUAAUAUGCAUUGUCAAGGAAGAAUGUCACUGGAACUAAGAAAAAGCCGUAACACUCGCAGCACUUCACAUACAUACUUAUUCUCAACUAUGAAUAAAAUUACCGACCAACAGCAAGAAAGGAAAAUAUGUUUAACAGUAAAGCCGUGGAUUGUUUUGAAACUAGCAGCACAUGUAACAUGCUAAAUAUUUCUCACAUUGUUAAAACCUGGUUUUAAUAUCUUAUCGUUUUCAAAUGGAUUUUGUUUUCGCAAUAA